UCGCCGUGGGGCUGUCAAAUCACUAGGGUUGACAAUGCCCUAGGUGGGAUAAUGCCCUUAGGCGGCAGUGCCGCAUGCUGCUGUCAGGGCUGACAGUCUCUGACAGCUGUACGGCGAUCGGAGGAGUCAACCGACCUUAGAUCGGUGAUCAGCUGUGUGUCGUCGGGUGGAGAUUCGGGCCCCUCCGACGGUCAGUCGGGC
rnacentral:lncRNA from 1 species